UACAGAGGUCCCAAGCGUUGUUCGGAUUCAUUGGGCGUAAAGGGUGCGUAGGUGGUGAGGUAAGUCGGAUGUGAAAGCUCGGAGCUCAACUCCGAAAUGGCAUUGGAAACUACCUUGCUCGAGGGUUGGAGGGGGGACUGGAAUACUUGGUGUAGCAGUGAAAUGCGUAGAUAUCAAGUGGAACACCAGUGGCGAAGGCGAGUCCCUGGACAACUCCUGACACUGAGGCACGAAAGCUAGGGGAGCAAACAGG
rnacentral:rRNA from 1 species